rnacentral:rRNA from 1 species
GAUGAACGCUGGCGGCGUGCCUAAUACAUGCAAGUCGAGCGAACAGACGAGGAGCUUGCUCCUUCGACGUUAGCGGCGGACGGGUGAGUAACACGUAGGUAACCUACCUAUAAGACUGGGAUAACUUCGGUAAACCGGAGCUAAUACCGGAUAAUAUUUCGAACCGCAUGGUUCGAUAGUGAAAGAUGGCUUUGCUAUCACUUAUAGAUGGACCUGCGCCGUAUUAGCUAGUUGGUAAGGUAACGGCUUACCAAGGCAACGAUACGUAGCCGACCUGAGAGGGUGAUCGGCCACACUGGAACUGAGACACGGUCCAGACUCCUACGGGAGGCAGCAGUAGGGAAUCUUCCGCAAUGGGCGAAAGCCUGACGGAGCAACGCCGCGUGAGUGAUGAAGGUCUUCGGAUCGUAAAACUCUGUUAUUAGGGAAGAACAAACGUGUAAGUAGCUGUGCACGUCUUGACGGUACCUAAUCAGAAAGCCACGGCUAACUACGUG